rnacentral:rRNA from 1 species
CGCGGUAUACGGGGGGUGCAACCGUUAUCUUUAAUCACUGGGCGUAAAGGGUGCGUAUGCGGUGCAUUAGGUCUGUCGCGAAAUCCCCGGUCUCAACCUGGGAAUGGCGGUGGAAACCGGUGUACUAGAGUAUGGGAGAGGGUGGUGGAAUUCCAGGUGUAGCGGUGAAAUGCGUAGAGAUCUGGAGGAACAUCAGUGGCGAAGGCGGCCACCUGGCCCAAUACUGACGCUGAGGCACGAAAGCGUGGGGAGCAAACAGGAUUAGAUACCCUGGUAGUCCACGCCCUAAACGAUGAAUACUAGAUGUUUGGUGCCAAGCGUACUGAGUGUCGUAGCUAACGCGAUAAGUAUUCCGCCUGGGAAGUACGGCCGCAAGGUUAAAACUCAAAGGAGUUGACGGGGGCCCGCACAAGCGGUGGAGCAUGUGGUUUAAUUCGAUGCAACGCGAAGAACCUUACCUGGGCUUGACAUGUCUGGAAUCCUGCAGAGAUGUGGGAGUGC